CCAGCAUCUUUCCCCAACAUAAUAGACAUGAAUACUGCUGUAAAGAUUUCCACGAAGUCAGUGGCCGCUGUGAAGGUUGCCCAGCUGGUCAAUAUGGACUAAAAUGCAAACUGUCUUGUCCUGAUGGUUAUUAUGGCUUUAGAUGUAAACAAAGUUGUAAUUGUCUAAAUGACGGAGUGUGUCAUUAAGUCGACGGUUGUGUCUGCAGAGACGGUUUUUCAGGGGAAGCGUGUGAGAAAGCUUGUCUUCCUGGAAAAUUUGAUAAUAGAUGUCAACAGACAUGCAACUGUUCUGCUGGAUUUACGUGUGAAUGGAUGACAGGAAAAUGUAGUUGUCUUCAAGGACCGACUCAAGGGUUGUGUAACUACGACAGUACAAUUAAAUUGCAUGUGCAAGGGAUCACAACUACAACAUACAUCAAGGACACUACCAGUGAAGCCUUCCAUCAAGGCGUAAGUUAUACAUACGGUGGUGGAGUAGCAGAAAGCAGAUCAAAUUAUAUAUCAGGUAGAAAGAAGGUUGCCUCUAAACCAUUUGUAAUAUAUAACAUCGUGGUAAUAUGUGCACUUGUGUUUAUAUGGCUACUGAUAAUGAUAAAUAAAGUGAAGGAAGCAAGAUCUACCAAAGGAGAUCCGAACAUACAACGAAAUAAGGAUAAUGAAAACAAUGUGUAAAUUGCUUAAAUUAGCGAAGCUUGAAAUAUCACAUCGGUCUUUGUUUAUGCAUAUUACUCAUGUUAGUCUGAUCUUACACAAAUAUAACAAAAGAAUAUUUGCAAAUAGGGUUGAAUCUUUGAAGAUAUGAGAGAAACGAACACUACUUAUUUUUAAUAAAGAAUGUAUCCCUUAAAAACAUAGUCACCACAUGUUUACUGUGCAGUAACAAGUAAGGAGGAUUUUCCAACUUUCCGGAGACUAAAUUGUACAUUGAUGUAAUCUUUACUUUAUGUCAAAACAUUUUUAUAUUCGCUGAUUGCUCAGAUGUUUGAUUGCCUUUUUAUUGACUGACUGGUAUGUGUGUAAUGCAUUUAUAACAACUAGAAAUUGCCCC